AAUAAGUCCUUGUCUUACCCGUUCGGCUAACGACCCUCCACCGAUCAAGCAAGCGGUGGGUGAGAGUGGACACCCAUUAAGUCACCAUUUUAUAGGCAACAACCUUAUACCCACCUUAUAGACCGGCUUCGUGAAUGAGGCGUACUAGCGGUAAGACGACUUUGUUCUUAUACAUAUAUAUAUAAUUAUUAAAUCAUAAUAAUAUAAGUAUAAGGGUUGAAUUUUAACUUUUAAAAUUCUAGGGGUUGGAACUAAAGUUUUAACUUAACUUUACUUGUUCCAAAACUUGAGGGCAAGUUUUGUAAACUUUCAAAACUUUUCAUUUCUUGUAACUUAUGAGUUUAAUAGAGUAAUAAAAUGAGGACUUUUCAUUUUUCUAACUCUUGUGUUCUUUUAAUGGUUUUUUAAUCCAAGAGACUUUUGGUUUUCCAUAACUUGAGGACAAGUUAUGGACUCCAUUAAAACACAUUAUGAUCAUGAAUUAAUCUACCACAUAGGUUACAAAUAAUUCCUAUGAUCAUCUAAACAUCAUAAGAACAAGAAUAUGAACAUGAACACCUUCAAGAAUCAAAAUCACAUUUAAUCUUUGUAAUUUUGAUAACUAGUUGUUGUAAAUGAGUUAGAAAAGACAUUACACCUUCUAAAACAAGUUUUCAAGUACCAAAACAAUUUAGGGUAAUGUUUCUAAUCCAUUUCCAGCAACUGAAGUCGAAAUUCUGCACUCUGUCGACCCUACUCGCCGAGUGCAUAAACCUACUCGCCGAGUAGGUUGAAGAUACAAGUGAACUCGACGAGUCCUCCCCAUGGACUCGCCGAGUCCAUCAGUCAGACAGCAAGAUUUUCGACUUUCUUCAACUUUUAAGCACAAAUAACAAACAAACAAGCCUAGGCUCUGAUACCACUGAUGGGUUUUGAGCAUUCUAACACUUCCUAAGUGUACAUGCAACCCUAAUAACCUUGGAUCUAUGUUUGUCUAAUUAUCAUGCAAAGUUGAAUUCCAAGGUUAUAUUCCUAUCUAGCAUACAUGGGGAACAAUUUUAACUUGAAUAAUAGAUAGAAUAACUUACCUUGUUGUUGCUUGUGUUCCUUGAAACCUUGUGAGCCUAGCACCCCAAGUGUGAUGCCUCAAAUGCUUCACACAACACCAAAUGCUCUUGGACAAACUUAUGAGAGAACACACACUCCUUGAAAUCGGCCAAGCCCUCUAGUGUCUUAUGUAUAGCCGAUUUUGGUGGAGAAUAUGAUUCUUAUAUAGUGUUGACACAUCUAGGGUUACACCAUGUAAACCCUAAUGUGUCAUGACUCUUCAUUUACAUGACCCAUGGGUUUGUAACUCCCAUGGAGCAUCCAUGGAGCAUCCAAUGGGUAGAAGCCAACUUGAUAAUCCAUGGAGCCUCUUAGCCCACUAUACAAGAUAUGAAUGAUUUACAUAAUCAACCCAUAUAUUUAAUUAGUUCUCUUUUGACCACUUAAUUAAUUCUAAAUUAAUUAUUGAUCAAACUAAUCAAAUAAUAUUAUUAAUAUAUUA
rnacentral:lncRNA from 1 species